UAUGAAAUCAUAAAUGCAUUUGUACAAAAAAAUAAAAUAAAAUAAAAUUUAGUGAAAUUUAUCCUUUAAUCAUGGCCAAUGAUAGUUGUACUAUAGCUCGUUUGGCGCACUGUAUUACGUUGUAUAAUUAGUUAAUCCCAGUCACAUGUUUGGUGAGAAAAACCGUUUGGAUAACUUAAUACGUGGGAUCCAGAUUAAUACAAAAGGAGCUGGAUAACUUUAUGCAAAGGAGAUAGCUGGUAUUAUCUAAUACAAAACGCGGGCGCGAGUUUAACCCAAAAAAAUCAAAAAUAAAAAAACCUCCACCGUGCCCAUCCAAAUCGUACCAUAUCAGAGAGAGGUUGAUCGGUUCACAUGUUCAGGUGCCAACAAUUUGACAAUUUUUGAAUUCCGUUGUUAAAUUCUGAUGAAAGAUUGUAUAUGCAGAAGGAAAAAGAUUUUUGAACUGCAAAUCAAAAUGGAACUUUCGCAAGUUCGAACAUCAAAGCCAAUAUUAUCAAAACUCAC